CCAUUGUUCUUCAAAUUUAUACUAUCAAUUGAAUCGGUGGAGAUUGAGAGGCAAACACGGUAGUCCCGAAGCCCUUUGGACGUUCUUCAAAGCCAUACGCUGUGUCGACCUACAGAAAACAGAGAGAGGAUCUUGCUGUGAGAGGCAAAUGGUACUCUCAUCUUUUCGGCGGCAAGACUAAUUCGACGUUGGCGGUGUGAUUGGAGUGGCUGUGGGUAAUUUCACUGUACCUAAAACCCUAAUCCUACAAAGAAAGAGAAAAGAAUUUGAAGAACAAUCAGAAAAUCUGAAGGUUGGAAGCUGCCGUGCUGGAUCUGGUUGCAGAUGAUAGUGGUGGCAUGCAGAAACAAAAAUCUAGAUUCCACUGGGAUAAGAGGAGUAAGAAGUACAUCAAGUUAAACAAUGGGGACCAUGUGACAGCUAGUGGAAAGGUAUUUUUUCAAAGAUCU